UACGUAGGGUGCAAGCGUUGUCCGGAAUUAUUGGGCGUAAAGAGCUUGUAGGCGGUCUGUCGCGUCUGCUGUGAAAUUCCGGGGCUCAACCCCGAACUUGCAGUGGGUACGGGCAGACUAGAGUGUGGUAGGGGAGACUGGAAUUCCUGGUGUAGCGGUGAAAUGCGCAGAUAUCAGGAGGAACACCGGUGGCGAAGGCGGGUCGCUGGGCCGAUACUGACGCUGAGGAGCGAAAGCGUGGGGAGCGAACAGG
rnacentral:rRNA from 1 species